UUAGUUUAUAACAGUAAUUAUAUUUUAAAUUAUGGGAUAUUUUGAAAGAGUUUUAUAUUGUGUAGAGAAAGUUAAACUCUCAAAUUCAAUCCCGAAUUGCUCAACGCACAAUGAUUAUUACAUAUGAAAACGAGACCCGUUAAGUAUGAAACAGACAACCCGAAAACCCGACAACAAAGAAGAAAAAACCAAGAACAUAAAACCCGGCGAAUGCCAAGGCAACUUAGAUAUCUGAUUGUACACAAAAUGCAUUAUUAGCCGUACACGUGUCCCUUUCCCUUAACGUCCGAGCCAAUGCCGUUAACCAAGAACAUAAACCCGGCGAAUCCCAAGGCAACUGAGAUAUCUGAUUGUACACAAAAUGCAUUAUUAGCCGUACACGUGCCUCUUUCCCUUAACGUCCGAGCCAACGCCGUUCCCGCCGAAUCC
rnacentral:lncRNA from 1 species